AUUGAACGCUGGCGGCAGGCUUAACACAUGCAAGUCGAGCGGGGUGAAGUGCUUCGGUACUGAUCCUAGCGGCGGACGGGUGAGUAAUGCUUAGGAAUCUGCCAUUUAGUGGGGGACAACAUUCCGAAAGGAAUGCUAAUACCGCAUACGUCCUACGGGAGAAAGCAGGGGAUCUUCGGAACUUGCGCUAAAUGAUGAGCCUAAGUCGGAUUAGCUAGUUGGUGGGGUAAAGGCCUACCAAGGCGACGAUCUGUAGCGGGUCUGAGAGGAUGAUCGGCCACACUGGGACUGAGACACGGCCCAGACUCCUACGGGAGGCAGCAGUGGGGAAUAUUGGACAAUGGGCGGAAGCCUGAUCCAGCCAUGCCGCGUGUGUGAAGAAGGCCUUUUGGUUGUAAAGCACUUUAAGCGAGGAGGAGGCUACCUGGAUUAAUACUCUAGGAUAGUGGACGUUACUCGCAGAAUAAGCACCGGCUAACUCUGUGCCAGCCGCCGCCGUAAGAC
rnacentral:rRNA from 1 species